GUGCCAGCCGCCGCGGUAAUACAGAGGGUGCAAGCGUUAAUCGGAAUUACUGGGCGUAAAGCGCGCGUAGGCGGCUGUCUAAGUCGGGUGUGAAAGCCCCGGGCUCAACCUGGGAACUGCAUUCGAUACUGGACGGCUAGAGUAUGAGAGAGGGAGGUAGAAUUCCACGUGUAGCGGUGAAAUGCGUAGAUAUGUGGAGGAAUACCGGUGGCGAAGGCGGCCUCCUGGUUCAAUACUGACGCUGAGGUGCGAAAGCGUGGGGAGCAAACAGGAUUAGAAACCCCAGUAGUCC
rnacentral:rRNA from 1 species